ACCGUGCAAUCAUCUGAUCCGGUGAAGAGUAGCCCGUCAGCGGUGAGCUCGGAUCGUCUAGAUGCACUUGGACUCCCACAGUUCGCACACCUUCACGCUAGUCGGAGGAACUGUGGGAACUGUCGAGACGAUGGGAGCUCACAGCGAGGCCGUCGAUACCGUCGUCGUAGGGCACGACGGGCUACUCUUCACUGGAUCGAAUGACAACACGGU
rnacentral:pre_miRNA from 1 species